rnacentral:lncRNA from 1 species
UAGGAAGUAAACUUAUAUGAGUACACAAGGUUCUCAUGGACUUUUGGGACUUGAUAUUGAGCAGGAAAUGGCAAAUACCAGCAGACAUUCUCAUCCAGCCUGUCCUCCAGCUGGCAGCAGAAAGAUGCCCUAAAACCCCUUUUUUCUUCCAUUUUUGCAGUGUUUCAAAGGCCAGGGAAGAAAGCUCCCUCCAGCCCUGCAGCCUCCAAGCUGAGCUCCAGCUGCCCUGAGGGAUGCACUGCCCAGUGCUCCUGCUAAAGGCCACCUUUUAGUAGGAACUUUUCCAUUCUCAUAAUAAAUGAAGCACGAAGGCUGAUGUUUCUGCUGCUACAGUUUGGAAGAUCCCACUCAGAAAUGGAAAAGCCAUUCCUACAAAUGUAAACAUGAGUACAAGUCUUAAAUAAAUCUGUUUAUGGAACCAAUUUUUCUGGGCUUCAAUGGCUAAAAUGAGUGAACAGAAAUGCAAACCACCUCUGGUGGAGGACGAAGAAGCCAAGUGGCCGUGGUUGCUCUGUGUGAGUAUGAAUUUGCUGAACUUUGUUCCAGUAUAAGACAUUCUGAAGGAGAGGUGAGGAUGAAUUGGGAGGCCGUGGCUCUGCUGCUCCUCGUUUAUCUGCAGAGCUGCUCACAGAGGGGAAGGCAGAGGGAGUCAAAAUCCCAAAGGUGCCUGGAGGAAAGCAUGGACCUCACUGCUCUGGAGGAGAAAACUGAAAUACUGCAGAAAUGGAAAAGACAGGUAAAAAAAAACCCAAGAAACACUAGAAUUAUGGUUUUGUGGAAAAGAAUUUUACAUUAGCUGGUACGUGGAUACUGGGUUCUGUAUAUA